rnacentral:rRNA from 1 species
GAUGAACGCUGGCGGCGUGCCUAAUACAUGCAAGUCGAGCGAACAGACGAGGAGCUUGCUCCUCUGACGUUAGCGGCGGACGGGUGAGUAACACGUGGAUAACCUACCUAUAAGGCUGGGAUAACUUCGGGAAGCCGGAGCUAAUACCGGAUAAUAUAUUGAACCGCAUGGUUCAAUAGUGAAAGACGGUUUUGCUGUCACUUAUAGAUGGAUCCGCGCCGCAUUAGCUAGUUGGUAAGGUAACGGCUUACCAAGGCAACGAUGCGUAGCCGACCUGAGAGGGUGAUCGCCCACACUGGAACUGAGACACGGUCCAGACUCCUACGGGAGGCAGCAGUCGGGAAUCUUCCGCAAUGGGCGAAAGCCUGACGGAGCAACGCCGCGUGAGUGAUGAAGGUCUUCGGAUCGUAAAACUCUGUUAUUAGGGAAGAACAAAUGUGUAAGUAACUAUGCACGUCUUGGCGGUACCUAAUCAGAAAGCCACGGCUAACUACGUG